rnacentral:rRNA from 1 species
CAUGCAAGUCGAGCGCCCCGCAAGGGGAGCGGCAGACGGGUGAGUAACGCGUGGGAAUCUACCCUUUUCUACGGAAUAACGCAGGGAAACUUGUGCUAAUACCGUAUGAGCCCUUCGGGGGAAAGAUUUAUCGGGAAAGGAUGAGCCCGCGUUGGAUUACCUAGUUGGUGGGGUAAAGGCCUACCAAGGCGACGAUCCAUAGCUGGUCUGAGAAGAUGAUCAGCCACAUUGGGACUGACACACGGCCCAAACUCCUACGG